rnacentral:rRNA from 1 species
GAUGAACGCUAGCGGCAGGCUUAACACAUGCAAGUCGAGGGGCAGCGCGUCGUAGCAAUACGAUGGCGGCGACCGGCGGAAGGGUGCGUAACGCGUGAGCAACUUGCCCGUCACAGGGGGAUAACCGGUGGAAACGCCGACUAACACCCCGUAACACAUUUCGCUGCAUGGCGAGAUGUUGAAAACUCCGGUGGUGACGGAUAGGCUCGCGUGCCAUUAGCUAGUCGGCGGGGCAACGGCCCACCGAGGCGACGAUGGCUAGGGGUUCUGAGAGGAAGGCCCCCCACACUGGGACUGAGACACGGCCCAGACUCCUACGGGAGGCAGCAGUGGGGGAUAUUGCACAAUGGGGGAAACCCUGAUGCAGCGACGCCGCGUGAGGGAAGAACGGUCCUCUGGAAUUGUAAACCUCUGUCUUCGGGGACGAAACGAGACGGUACCCGAGGAGGAAGCCACGGCUAACUACGUGCCAGCAGCCGCUGUAAAC